UCUGGGCAGUUGAUGAGUCUCAUGGUAUUGUGGGUAAUUGCGUCUGAAUAAUCAACGAUGUUUUACUUUCACCUUGGAGAACUGAUGCCCAAG
rnacentral:snoRNA from 1 species